CUUGGUUGUGCCUCCACUUUGUGCAGUGUCUGUACUAGCAGCAUUUCACAGCGUGACCACAGCACAAGCACAGAUGUUUCCGCAAUUCUAAGUAAGGCUCAAUACCUUAAAUCGAGACAUGAAGAGCCUUAGCAAAUUCCUCAGAGUCACACAACUGAUUAGUAAUAGAGCUUCACCUGCUACUUGGUUCACUGGACAUCAGUGUAAGUAUGUGAAGCAAAGGGUGGCUUAUUAAGCGGAUUAAAAUGUCUCAGAUUAUGGUGUAGGAGUAAAUGAUUUUCAGGGGAAAUGAAUGAAGCCAAAGAACAAUGGCCUUGGGACCAAGUUUCCCUGGAGGUGGGUGGCAUCAUAGGUUAUAGGACAGAGAAGGAAGCAAAUCACAUGAAGCAAAGGCUUGUUUCCUAGUUCCAGAGAAGAGAAGGGCCAAGAGAGGGCCCAAGAGAUAAAUCCUGGCUGUUUAUUUCACUAAUAUAGGUUUUUCUCUACAGAAGCAAAUCUCCUGCACAAAUGGCAGCUUUUCAGGGUUAUUCCUCUUUCCACAUAAGAAUGAUACAGAUAUAUAGAAAUAUUAUUUCAGCUGAAAUUUUGUAUAUAAAAGAAAAUGUAUACUUACUAAUUAGAUACUUUAAAAUGUUUUAUUCUAUGAAAGAAAAAACAUAUUUGUUGUUUAGAAAAUGCAAAUCCUGGCUUUCUACUGUCACUCUUUGAUAUGGUUUGGCUGUGUCC
rnacentral:lncRNA from 10 species